GGAUUGUGGUUCAGUGGUAGAGUGCUUGUCUAGCACGUCUGAGGCCCUGGGUUUGAUCCUCAGCACCA
rnacentral:tRNA from 1 species